UACGUAGGGUGCGAGCGUUAAUCGGAAUUACUGGGCGUAAAGCGUGCGUAGGCGGUUUUGUAAGCCAGAUGUGAAAUCCCCGGGCUUAACCUGGGAAUGGCAUUUGGGACUGCAAGGCUUGAGUGCGGCAGAGGAGACUGGAAUUCCUGGUGUAGCAGUGAAAUGCGUAGAUAUCAGGAGGAACACCGAUGGCGAAGGCAGGUCUCUGGGCUGACACUGACGCUCAUGCACGAAAGCGUGGGGAGCAAACAGG
rnacentral:rRNA from 1 species